UCCCUUCCUCUUCUCUUCUCUCCAAUCCUCUUCUCUCUGCUAGGGUUAGCCGCUGCUGCCGCCGCCGCCGUCCGUCAUCAACUCGCAACUACCGCCCCAGGUCGUAUGCUGUCGCCCAUAGCACGAAUCCUCGAAGGGGGCACCACCUCCGACGGCAGCGAGUCCCCUGCGCCGAGGGCGGCGACACAGCAGCAACGCGCCGCGCCUCCCCUCCUCGACCCCUAGGCGCUCUCCUCCACCAACUCAGAGGUGCCUCAUGUCAUUUCCUCUUUUUCUCUCCCUCUCUCUCUCCUCUCUCUCAUCCCCCCAAAUCAGAGGGUAGCGGCGGUGGCUCCCCUGACCACGGCGUGGAUCUGCAUCAGGCGGCCAUGCAAGCGCCUCCUCACCGACCGGCGGCAGCGCAGGCGCACCCUCUCCGACGCACUGAAAUUCGCUGGCGAUUCAUUAGAGCAGCCCCUCUAGGCACGGGCGAUAUGGUUACCACGUCAAUCUCAGCAGCAAAAUGGUGAGCAAAGGGCUUCCGGCUAGUGACACAACAAUAGGAUACAGCCAUGGAUAUCACUCAGGUUCUGCUAGAUGCUCAAUCUCCAGAUGCUAACCUUCGAACAGUAGGAGAAAGCAACCUCACACAGUUCCAGGAGCAGAAGCUUUAAGCUACGCUCAACUGUCUGUGUGACUCAGAUUUGAUGCAAACCGUGUUAUAAAAAAAGACAUGUUGUAAUUUGUUCAUUUCAAAUCAAUGUCUGUUCCAAUCUAUGUGUCCUAUCACUAUUGAUUAUACUUCUAUUCUGUACAGGUACUACUUUCUCAACUUGGGUAGCAGCAACAAUAAGAUCUGAAGCUUUCUGUACAAGUACCUGCAGAUGGUUUUGCUGUGAUCUUAGUGGCAAAUUGUUGUGAUAUUCACUGAACAGAAAUGGGAGUGCUGUUGCUGGUGGUUGCCUGUGGCCCUAGUUUAGUAGUGUUACUGUUGCUAGUGGUUGCCUAUGGCCCUAGUUUAGUAGUGUUACUGUGAAUUUGGUUGAGUUGUGAGUCAAGUACUGAUGUUAAGUACUGAUGUCCCUAGUUAUCUUGCUACUGAUGUCAAGUUAGUUGUGAGUCAAGUAAUGAUGUUAAGUGAGUUAUGCAAUAACUUAUGUUGCCACUUUGUGGAAUCUUUUAGUCAUUUCAAUGUUAUUAAAAAAAUGCAUUUUUCAUUCC